rnacentral:sRNA from 1 species
CAUGCCCCUUAUACGCUGGGCUACACACGUGCUACAAUGGGUAGAACAGAGAGUCGCAAAGCUGUGAAGUGGAGCUAAUCUCAGAAAACUAUUCUUAGUUCGGAUUGUACUCUGCAACUCGAGUACAUGAAGUUGGAAUCGCUAGUAAUCGCGAAUCAGCAAUGUCGCGGUGAAUACGUUCUCGGGUCUUGUACACACCGCCCGUCACACCACGAGAGUUGGUUGCACCUGAAGUAGCAGGCCUAACCGUAAGGAGGGAUGCUCCGAGGGUGUGAUUAGCGAUUGGGGUGAAGUCGUAACAAGGUAUCCGUACGGGAACGUGCGGAUGGAUCACCUCCUUUCUAAGGAGUAUAAGUCUUUCUCUAUUCUAUUGGUAAUGUUCUUUACAUUACUUCUGAACAUUGGAAACUAUAUAGUAGAACAAACAAGAAAAAAAUUAACUCUAACAAUUUCUUAGAGUUAGCUGUCAAAAAAUAGGUUAAAAUAAUUAAGGGCACACAAAGGAUGCCUAGGUAGUAAGAGCCGAUGAAGGACGUGGUAAGCUGCGAUAAGCCUA